GGGGUUGUGGCUCAGUGGUAGAGUGCUCGCCUAGCAUAUGUGAGGCACUAGGUCCGAUCCUCAACACCA
rnacentral:tRNA from 1 species